rnacentral:misc_RNA from 1 species
UUUCCGUAGGUGAACCUGCGGAAGGAUCAUUAAAGAAUUUGCCCCGUCCUCUCGAGGAUGGGUCCUCUUCUAAACCGUGUAUACAUACCUUUGUUGCUUUGGCGGGCCGCCGUCUCGGCGUUGGCUUCGGCUGACUGUGCCCGCCAGAGAACCCCAACUCUUCUGUUUAGUAUUGUCUGAGUACUACAUAAUAGUUAAAACUUUCAACAACGGAUCUCUUGGUUCUG